rnacentral:sRNA from 1 species
AGUCGGAAUCGGACAGCCGUCCCGAUAUCACUGAUCUGUAUCAAAAUUACUGUCAGAUCCUGAAUAAAUGUUGAAACGCUGAUUGGACUUUGCUCGGUUACUUUUACCAAAUUGAGGGCUACUACCCGAGUGUUGAUCGGGUUAUAGUACAGCCGAGUGUCGAUCGAGUUGUACAGUGGUCCUUAUUGGUGGUGCUAAUUUUAUUGUCGGUAAUCGUCCCAAACCUUUCUGGACUGGACAUUGCCGGUAAAAUCCUUACGGACAUUCCGGGAAAAAGGAUAAUUGGUGCAGAUAACCGGGUACGAUCCACGGACCUCCGGACAAGCGAGUUUUCCCCAAACCUCAACUUACCAGGACCCACAGCCUCAACAUGGACUGACAUGCAUUUCCGACCACAGUGGCAGUUUUCGGCGCCGGUGUGCAGUAGAUGUAAUCGACGGCAUUACAACGCCUGCAACGCUUUGGAAAAACGAUGUCACCGAUGUGGACAGGAAGGACAUUUUGGCAGAGCGUGCGGAAACAUUGGAUCCCGCACUGUAUAUAAAACCGGACCGAAAAGAAAACGAGAUUUUCAGCGACUCCGAGAACACAACGAAAGAAAGAAACUCGCCAGAGCACUUCCGUUUUCCAAGUUAAGUGACGCUGCUUUUAAACAAUGUGUUAGUGAUAAGUCUGUUUUCAUGUUAGAUUUAAAUGCAAAUAUGAAGAAAUUUCAAGAAACUAUCGCGACUUUGAAAACGGACAACUUGCAACUAGAUUCAAAAGUGAAACAACUUUCGUCGGAACUGGAAGAUAAAGACGACCAAAUCAAAUUUUAUACCGUUUGCUUAAGUGGCGUUGUUUCGGACGGAAGGAAAAUGCGAUCCAUAAUUUCGGAGUACCAGUGGUUUCUGGACAAUUAUGAAAUGGAACACAUCAUCUUGCGAUCUAUUAUAAGAAAUUGUGUAUGCAGGACAGAAUCGGAGAUCGACAGAGAGUUUUUACGUAAAGAACAUCGGCGGAUAAAGAAAUUCGGAAUUGACUUUGUGCUUAAAUCUUAACAAUAUAACAUUAACUUUUUAGUCUUUUUGUAAUGUGGACUGUCAAUUAUAGUUUUGCGUAGAGGAAAUUGUUUCAUAUAUGCGGCAUGUGUAAAAUGAGCUUAAAUUUUAUUAGUUUAAGUUUGGGGACCAAACUUUUUGUAGCAGGGAGGAGUUGUCAUGUACAAAUUUUGAUUAUCAAUAAUCUAAAUUUUUGUAAAGGACAGGUUAUCGUGUCGAAGAUUUUACUUCUGUUUAUUUUGUUUUUCUUAUAAAUUUUAGCGCGAUUUUAAUCAAAAUACUUUCUCAGGGUUUGAAUAUGGCUAUAUUGUUCGGAAAAAGCUUUUGUUAGGUUCAAAUGAUGGUUAAUCUCAUUUACUCGUUUAUCUAAAUUCAUGAUAUAAAAACGUCAAAUGUCUUAGAGUUUUAGAUAAUUGAAUUUCCUCACCUGUCAUCUUUAUUUUGCUAAAAGCAUUUACAGGCAUUAUAUACUUCAAAGGGAAUUAAUUGGCUAGGUAAUUUACUUAGGGAUUAACUCAGGUGUCAUGGUCUGAGCUAUUAUUCAUUUAUCGUUUUACACAUGUUACAUAAUUUUUGUUUUAUAUACUGUUGAAAUUCUUUUGUACAUUAGUCGGAAUCGGACAGCCGUCCCGAUAUCACCGAUCUGUAUCAAAAUUACUGUCAGAUCCUGAAUAAAUGUUGAAACGCUG